AACACUGUUAACCUGCGGUACCUGCGGAAGGAUCAUUACAGAGUUCAUGCCCUCACGGGUAGAUCUCCCACCCUUGAAUACUAUACCUUUGUUGCUUUGGCGGGCCGCUUUGGCUACUGGCUCUGGCUAGUAAGUGCCCGCCAAAGAACCCCAAAACUCUGAAUAUUAGUGUCGUCUGAGUACUAUAUAAUAGUUAAAACUUUUAACAACGGAUCU
rnacentral:misc_RNA from 1 species